rnacentral:rRNA from 1 species
UGGGGAAUAUUGGACAAUGGGCGGAAGCCUGAUCCAGCAACGCCGCGUGAGGGAUGACGGCCUUCGGGUUGUAAACCUCUUUCAGUACCGACGAAGCGAAAGUGACGGUAGGUACAGAAGAAGGACCGGCCAACUACGUGCCAGCAGCCGCGGUAAUACGUAGGGUCCGAGCGUUGUCCGGAAUUAUUGGGCGUAAAGGGCUCGUAGGCGGUUUGUCGCGUCGGGAGUGAAAACAGCGGGCUUAACUCGUUGCUUGCUUUCGAUACGGGCAGACUAGAGGUAUGCAGGGGGAGAAUGGAAUUCCUGGUGUAGCGGUGAAAUGCGCAGAUAUCAGGAGGAACACCGGUGGCGAAGGCGGUUCUCUGGGCAUUACCUGACGCUGAGGAGCGAAAGUGUGGGGAGCGAACAGGAUUAGAUACCCCUGGUAGUCCACACCGUAAACGUUGGGCGCUAGUGUGGGUCCUUUCCACGGAUUCGUGCCNUAGNAACGCAUUUAAGCGCCCCGCCUGGGGAGUACGGCCGCAAGGCUCAAAA